GGGGCUUUUUAUAACUGACGGAUCAGUGGGAGACCACAGGGGAGUAGAAAGCUUGAAUGUAAGCAGUUUAAGAGUUAAGCGGUGUUUUUUACACUGCGCCUGAUAAAGAGGAAUCAGUCAGGAGUUUAACACUGCUUUUGUCGACCGUCUGGGCAGUCCUG
rnacentral:ncRNA from 15 species